UCCUAUGUUUCAUCCGUACGCCACUUCUGACGCAAAUCCUACGCAAAGUUUUAUAAAUGAGGCCCCAGGUCAUCAUUGGUUUGAAUUUUUGAAUCAAUAUUCAUUGAUUUUCCAGUUUCCUUCUAGAACCACUAUUUUCUACAGAUUUGACUCCUUUCAUCCAUUUACACACACUUUCAUGGAAAGAGGAACCUGCAGACAAGAUGGUUCCUCACAUCAUUUGAGGAAGCAGAAAUUAUACGACUUACCCAAAAAACUGUUAGGGUUACCAGUUGAACUAAAGUUGUUUUGAGUGAUGUGGGGGUAAUUCCAGUUCUGGUCCAGGACUUCUGGUUCUGGACGUUGAUGUCUGCAGCCAGGUCCUCUUCAUCAUGACAGCAAAACAUGAGGCUCAGUGUUUUGCCAAAGGACACUUGAACACAUGUGCAGGCAGAUUGGGAAUCAAACCUGCCUAAACUGCUCCACCUCUGCAUCAUGACCAACCCCCCCACCCACCCCCACCCCCCCACACACACUCACACUAAUGUUUUAGUAGAAAAUACAGAUGAAACCAGAAAAUAAACCCUGCAGUAUUUUUGUAUAUCACUCCUUUAAAGGUAAAUGCUGUCCUGAAGGAUGGAUGAGAAUUGGAUGCAGCUGCUACUAUAAAUCUACUGAGAAGAGACAUUGGUAUGACAGCAAGAUUUUCUGUCAGUUUGUAGGAUCUGAUCUGGUGGUGGUAAACAGCAAAGAGGAACAGGUGGGUGUGUUCACACUAGUUCCUUCCAGCUUCUUGUGUCUUGGAUUCUCCACCUGUAUGUGUGCUGCUGUUGUCUGGAUGCUGAUGGAUUCCAGCUGAAAUUCUCCUCAACAACUCAGAUUUCAUGUUUGUCUGUCAGCAACAUUUCAAAGAAACGUUGUGAUGGAACACAGAAACUCUUUUUCCCACUUCUAAUGUCUUCAAUUCCAAAUAGGCUAAACUGGGAUUCAGUAGAAAUGGACUGUUGGCCCUGAAGACAAAACAAGAAGCAAAAACUAAAUGAACAGAAAUCUGCAUCAAAGAAAGUCAGAUUUUGUUUCUCAGAUGAACUUUCUCUCAGUUUUUAGGACAAUUAUCCAGAACAGAUGAAUCCUAAAGACCAGACAUUUUUUUACUGGACAUUAAGUGGGAAAGGAAACCAAGAUGGAGAGAAUGUCAUGAUUCGGAGGAGCGGCAGACCUAGAUGCUGGAACCUAAAAUGAGGACACAGGGUAGGUGAGAGGUAAGUAAGGAUUUUUAUUCUUUCCUUCCAGGAAGAUGGUGAUAGCGUGAAUGUGAUCCAGAGAGGAGCGAAGCUUGAGGCGUGGCUGGAGGUAGUAGCGCGGCUAGCCGAGCGUGGUGUUUCCAGAACAGCAGGGGUGCUCGAAAUGACUUCCACACAGGUGACACUCGAGAGCAGGAUUCCUGAGACACGAAUAAUAUCGUUAGUUGCGAGAUCAGCAUAGGAUGCAUAAACAUGAGCGAGACUGAGACCAGGUUAGUCACCAUAAGGGGUAACGAUCUGCCGAUGUGUUGUGGAGCUGGGUCUCCUUAAGAACGGCAGAGUUGUUGAGGAUGAAUUGGUCACAGCUGGUGGAGUCAGGAGCAGAUCACAGCGGAGGGGCGGGGCUGACAGAGGCGCCAUGACAGAGAAUGCAUUAAGAAAGAACAUUUUCUUUUGUUUACUAGGAGUUUGUUUCUGCAUUGAAUCAGAAUGCAGAAUCCUGGAUCGGUUUGUAUGCUGGAAGGUCAUCAUAUAAACCUGUAUGGUUCUGGGUGGAUGGAUCACCACUGACAGAAACGUUCUGGGAUGAGAGGUUUACAGAAGAUCCGUACAUCCUCAAUGCAGUCUCCUUAAGUGCUGACGGGAAUUGGACACAACAGCAUGUAGGAAACUACAAAAACUGGAUCUGUGAGAAAAACAAUUCUGAAUCUUUCUGUUCCCGAGCUGUGCAUUGAUUCAUUCAUUUUCUUAACCGUUUUUCCCUUUCGGGGUCACGGGGCUGCUGGAGCCUAUCCCGGCCACUUGUGGGCGAAGGCAGGGGACACCCUGGACAGGUCGCCAGUCUGUCGCAGGGUAGAAUGUCCACAAACACACACCCAAUCACUCUCACAUUCACACCUAGGGACAAUUUAGAGUUGCCAAUUAACCUAUGAAGCAUGUUUUUGGAUGGUGGGAGGAAGCCGGAGACCCUGGAGAGAACCUGAAAACUUGAACUGGAGGCCUUCUCGCUGUGAGGAGAGAGCGCUUACCACUACGCCACCGUGCAGCCCUGUGCAUUGAUUUAAUUGUUUAGUAAUGUAACUACAAACAUGUUUUAUCUUUAUUAUUUCUUUGUGUUUACUUCUCCAAAAUAGUGCUUAAAGGAAGGUUGUAUUUUAGUUUCUGGUGAAUUGUUCAGAGAAAUGAAGGUGUCAUCUAUCAACAACUUCAUCACAUUUAAAUAUCAGUAAAAAUGACUCAGAUAAACAGGAAACUGUAAUAAAUGACAUGAAAAGGAGCUAACUUAGAGCAGCAGUUCAGACUCAGGUUUGGUCUGUAGCAAAUAACAAACAGCUUCCACAAAGUCAACUGAAAA